CAAAGAAGUAGAAAGUUUUCCAGAGGAGGAGACGCCUGUACUGUGGCCAACUCUUUCAGUCCAGUGGAAGAGCCUUCCUCUGAGCCAGGUCUGCAAUUGGAAGGCAAUGUAACCGUCAUCACAGACAGGGAACGGCCCACUAAAAAUAUCAA